GUAGGGAAUACUGCGCAAUGGGGGAAACCCUGACGCAGCGACGCCGCGUGAGUGAUGAAGGCCUUCGGGUCGUAAAGCUCUGUUGCAGGGGAAUAAAAAAAUGAAGGUACCCUGUGAGGAAGGAUCGGCUAACUUCGUGCCAGCAUCCGCGGUAAGACGAGGGAUCCUUGCGUUGCUCGGAAUCAUUGGGCGUAAAGAGGGCGUAGGUGGCUUGGUAAGUCAGGUGUGAAAGCUCAGGGAUCAACCGUGGAAGUGCAUUUGAUACUGCUGGGCUUGAAUGUAGGAGAGGUUACCGGAAUACCAGGUGUAGUGGUGAAAUACGUAGAUAACAGGUGGAACACCGGAGGCGAAGGCGGGUAACUGGACGAACACUGACACUGAGGUCCGAAAGCGUGGGGAUCAAACAGAAUUAGAUACCCCGGUAGUCC
rnacentral:rRNA from 1 species